rnacentral:rRNA from 1 species
CGCGUCUUGGUUAUUGAUGUUGGAUGCUUGCAUUUAACUGAUUUAACAUUGAGACGAGUGGCGAACUGGUGAGUAACACGUGGGUAACCUGCCCUUGAAGUAGGGGAUAACACUUGGAAACAGGUGCUAAUACCGUAUAACAACCAAAACCACCUGGUUUUGGUUUAAAAGAUGGCUUCGGCUAUCACUUUAGGAUGGACCCGCGGCGUAUUAGCUUGUUGGUAAGGUAACGGCCUACCAAGGCAAUGAUACGUAGCCGACCUGAGAGGGUAAUCGGCCACAUUGGGACUGAGACACGGCCCAAACUCCUACGGGAGGCAGCAGUAGGGAAUCUUCCACAAUGGACGAAAGUCUGAUGGAGCAACGCCGCGUGAGUGAUGAAGGGUUUCGGCUCGUAAAACUCUGUUGUUGGAGAAGAACAGGUGUGAGAGUAACUGUUCACAUCUUGACGGUAUCCAACCAGAAAGCCACGGCUAACUACGUGCCAGCAGCCGCGGUAAUACGUAGGUGGCAAGCGUUGUCCGGAUUUAUUGGGCGUAAAGCGAGCGCAGGCGGUUUCUUAGGUCUGAUGUGAAAGCCUUCGGCUUAACCGGAGAAGUGCAUCGGAAACCAGGAGACUUGAGUGCAGAAGAGGACAGUGGAACUCUAUGUGUAGCGGUGAAAUGCGUAGAUAUAUGGAAGAACACCAGUGGCGAAGGCGGCUGUCUGGUCUGUAACUGACGCUGAGGCUCGAAAGCAUGGGUAGCGAACAGGAUUAGAUACCCUGGUAGUCCAUGCCGUACACGAUGAGUGCUAAGUGUUGGAGGGUUUCCGCCCUUCAGUGCUGCAGCUAACG